rnacentral:rRNA from 1 species
ACGCUCGACACCUACGGGAGGCAGCAGUGGGGAAUAUUGCACAAUGGGGGAAACCCUGAUGCAGCGACGCCGCGUGAAGGAAGAAGUAUUUCGGUAUGUAAACUUCUAUCAGCAGGGAAGAAGAAAGUGACGGUACCUGACUAAGAAGCCCCGGCUAACUACGUGCCACAGCCGCGGUAAUCUGAGCGGGCUGGCAAGGC